rnacentral:lncRNA from 10 species
AGAGACGGGGUUUUGCCAUGUUGUCCGGGCUGGUCUUGAACUCCUGACCUCAGGUGAUCUGCCCGCUUUGGCCUCCCAAAGUGCUGGGAUUACAGGCGUGAGCCACUGUACCUGGCCUCUUAGCCUUCCUUGUUGCCCCUGCGUGUAUGAGAUGGUUUGGUAGCCAUCUUUCAGCCAGGAGAUGACACGUGUCAGGACAAAAUGCUGACGUGGAAAGGUUGAUGAGUUGAAACACAGGAGGAAACUGCCCCUUUGAUGGUGUCAUUAAUCCACCCCACGAAUUCCUCAAUCACGCGUUUGUGGUUGGCCUACACUCCGUGGGGUCAGCUGCUCUGUGUAGAUGAAUACAUGUAGGUACAUGGCUUGAGGCUCACCUUUUCUUGGAGUGACAAGAGAGACUUCCAGAAGGCAUGUUGACUGGUUCCCAAGUGAGGACGGGCCACCAGGUGGGGUAUCUGGAAGAGAAAUUGUGGAAGAUGAGCUAGCACGCAUCUGGCUAGUAGCACCGCGUCAUAUUAGCUGCGAUUACGUCGAAAUGCCUGCAUAACUCCCUGGUCACCCGCACCCCAGAAUGUUCAGUAGUGACUGCAUAGGCCGUGUGUGGGAAAUAGCUCAUCCCUUGUUCCUUGUAGCGCACCCUCCUCCCUGGGUCCCCCUCAUGGUCAUUGGCACCUCCAUCCAUCCAAUCAGUC